rnacentral:rRNA from 1 species
CCGGCGCACGGGUGAGUAACACGUAUCCAACCUGCCGUCUACUCUUGGACAGCCUUCUGAAAGGAAGAUUAAUACAAGAUGGCAUCAUGAGUCCGCAUGUUCACAUGAUUAAAGGUAUUCCGGUAGACGAUGGGGAUGCGUUCCAUUAGAUAGUAGGCGGGGGUAACGGCCCACCUAGUCUUCGAUGGAUAGGGGUUCUGAGAGGAAGGUCCCCCACAUUGGAACUGAGACACGGUCCAAACUCCUACGGGAGGCAGCAUG